GCCGCGGUGUUGGAAUGGCAGACAAACUAGUCUCAAAAACUAGUGAUGGCAACAUCGUGAGAGUUCGACUCUCUCCCGCGGCA
rnacentral:tRNA from 1 species